UAAGGCCACCUCCCCAGCGCCCUCUGUACCUCGGGCAGUGGUCCCGCAGCUCCUUCACGUGACUGUCAAAGUAGGUCCACUCGCUGCAGUGGAGCUGGCUCAGCUCCUCCAGGUUCCUCCUGCGCUUCUUCAUGUUGCUCAGGACCAGGCUGAUGAUGUCGGCGUAGGUCGGAGUGGUCUCAGGGAUGAGCGUGGUCCUCUCCCUCCGGGUUAUCAGCACAUCCUGGCCGCUCUGGCACAGCCUGGAGUAGUUCUGCAGGAAGUGCACGACCAGAGGGCUGUGCCCGUGAAUGUUGAAGAGGUGUGAGGUCAGCGGAGGGCUUCUGCAGGCCGGGUGAGACUGGAGGAAAGAGAGGAAAGAGAGUGGGACCAGCGUGUGUUAGGGACUC
rnacentral:lncRNA from 1 species